AGGAGGAACAAACCCAGUGGCUGUGGCAGCUCUGGAAACCUGGAUUCAGCCCCCGCAGGAACUACUCCGUCUGCAGGGCCUAGAGGCUCCGGGGCGGG
rnacentral:pre_miRNA from 1 species